rnacentral:lncRNA from 1 species
UCAUGCAUGCAAAUUAAGUGUCGACCCUCAACUAACAUACACAAAUCAGUUUUAAUUCUUGUAGAUAAGUAAAUUGAAUUCCCAACUUAUGAAACGCAAUUAGAAGUAAUCAAAUCAUAUAGCAAGCAUAAACAUGGUUUCUAAUCCCCCCCUAGCCAAGGGGGGGUUUAGUUCCUCAUACUCGCAAAGCCAAGAUACAUAAAUUUAGAAAUUAAAAUCCAAAGAAAGAAAACACCUAGAACGCUCCAACUUGGCAGCAAGCGCAUCCAACGAAUUCUCCUUCCUCCUUGCUGCGGCAGAGACUUUAGAACAGGUUUUUGGGGUUAUUUGUGGUGUAGAAUGGAUGGGGAAUGGUAUGGAAAGGUUUAGGGUUGAUGGGGGUACGGCUAGGGAUGAUUUUGGGCAGAAUUUUGGGAUUUUGGUGAUGGAAAGGUGCGGCAGAAAUCAAGGUUUAAAUUUCUGGCGUGAAUGGUGGUUAUGUAUGAGAGGUGAUGAUCUGAUCUAGGGGUUAUAAUGAGUAUAUAUAGGCAUCCAAAACCCUAGGGUAAUCAGAUUAGGGUUUCUAGAAGCCCAAAUCCACCAGAAAUUAGGUUAAAACAAUCAUAUUUUUAGUGGGAAUAAGGCCUAAGGUGCGGCUAGGGUUAGGGUCCACAAGGAAUUAGGGUUUAGGUCAUCUAAAAGCCCAAAACCAAGAAUAGAAACUCUCGAAAAUGGAAACCUCCAAGAAUAGAAACUUCCAACUUUAGAAACUUUGGUUUCCAAAUCUGAAUUCUUUGUUCUUCACUUUCAUUUCUUCAUUUCUUAAGCUCAUUUGACCUUCAAACUCGUCCAUUCCUUGUGCUCCAUUAGCAUACACUCCAUUCUAGCUCAAUUUUGCUCUAAAAUGCUCCAUUUUGCACUUCUUUGCAUACUUCGUCUCUAAACCUGAAAUUGCACGAAAAUGACUUUAAACACUAAAAUAACUAAAGAAAAACAACAUAAAUGCUUAAGAACAAGCCAACUAAGUCGCAUAAAUAUGCUCCUAUCAAAUUCCCCCACACUUAGCUUUUGCUAGUCCUCGAGCAAAACAAAGAAACCAAACAAAACAAAAACACAAUCUAAACCUUCCAACAUUUGCCUCAGGGAUUUCCAAUGCACAUGACAUGUUAAAAAUCAUCACUCCCACAGAUUUUAGUCAUCUUCACACUUAAGCACAUACUUAAUCAUAGUCACCACGUACUAGUUCACAUUUAACCAAUUAAAACAUGAUUUUGAAUGUAGUAACAUGCCUUAGAGAAUGUGCUCAAUUCCUUACUAGAUAUGCACUCAAUUUUCACUCAGAUAUUCUGACUACACACCCUAUACUAGUUAUAUGUGAGAAGAUUGUUGUAAACAUGAAAACGAAUGCUCACAUAUAUGUAUAACAAAGAAAGCACUUUUCGGAGUUAAUAAGCAUGUUUAGAUAUAAUCUCAUGAAUGGAAUGCUACUACUUAGAUGCGAGAACCAGUGACACCAUAUGCUCAUACCAAUUUUUAAACUCCACAAAUUGAAAACACAUAACACUCAAGAUUAAAGUCAAGGGUUGUAACGGGGCUAGGGGAGUUGGCUAACAACGAAAGGAUAGGGAAAACAAACGUUCUUUAAGCAAUAGUAAGCAAAACAAUGAAAUCGUACUCAGAAUUCCCAUUAGCAUGCAGAAAUUAACUUUUAAACACAAAAGGGAAGAUUCAACAACAAUUAGGGCCGAAUUCAUUGUUUUGGACCCUUCCUUCAACAAACAACACUUAAGAACUCUUUUUCACAUCUUUUCAACUCCUUUUCAUUCUUUUCACAACUUUUUCUUUCUUUUUUUUUUUUUUUUAUUUCCCACUAAAUUUUUCUUUUUCUUUUCUUUUUCGUGCCUCAUUCAAGACUUUGGCACACCCACAACAAAACUCACUUCCCCCACACUUGUUUUCUGCCAACAAUGACCAAAAGGAAUUCAUUUUGAGUCAUUCAUUACUAUGCUUCAAGAACGAAGGUAUGGAUGGUCCUAAUCUAGGCUAGGUGAGGAUAAUGUGGGUUAACGAAGAAAACAUAGGCUAAACAAGGCUCAACGGGGUUAAAACCUACAAAAACGACUGCAUGGAAUGAAGGCUUUUUGCCUAUGGUGGUAACUACUAACUUCAUCUUGAAUAUGUGUUAUGUAAUUCAAUAACAUGUUUUGAAUGAAAUUGGCAUGAGUUCUAGCAUUUGGAACUAAAUGAUGAAACGCCUUCUAAGUAAUAACCAAGCAAAGAAUAAUGAGAUCAUGCAACGACUUUAGAAAACAACAAUGCACAGAUUUUAACUCUCCAAAUAAACGUUUAGGCUCAAGUCUCACAAGGUUGUAGCGUUUGUUUGAGUUCCUUCCUUCAAGCAUGUUACAAAAACUAAUUUUUUUUUUCUUUAUGAUUACAUGUGAAUUCAUAAGUUAUAACCACAACCAAGCAUAAACCAAAGAGUAAAUCAAACUUUUAUCCAUGUUUAUAACUCGCUUUAACAAUCAUGCAAUUACAAACUGAAUCCUCAUCAUUGUGUUGGAAGGUACCCUAAGACACAAACAAACACACAAAAACAACUCUUUUUGGGUUUUUAAAACAAUUUUUCAAAUUUUUAUGGGAUUUUCGGAUUUUUAUAUCAAAACACAUUAAAACACACCAAAACAGCUUAAAAAGGCUUAAAAACAGCAAGAAACAACAUUUGAAAUUAUGGGUGACAAAACCCUACGAAUUUGCAUCAAAACACUUUGGUUACCCCCCCACACUUAAAUCAAACAUUGUCCUUAAUGUUUCAAGCAUAGAUUCACACAAAUAACAAACAAACAAACAAAACAACAUCUAAACAACCUAACAUAGCAGAAACGAAAUUAACAACAAAGAGAAGAGUUUAGGAACGCAAAUCUGAAAUUGGAGUGCUUUCUAUGUCCUCCUUUGUUGAAUGCAUGGGUUGCCUCCCAAGUAGCGCUUGCUUUAACGUCUUCCAGCCGGACGAUGCUUCAUCGAAGGUUUAUGGAACCCCACGGCAUUGAGGGUUGUUUCCACAAUCUGACCUACGAAAUACUUCAUCUUUUGGGUCCUUGAAUGGGAUGGGAUAAUGAUCCUUUCUUAUUGUCAUGUUUUGCUUCUCGAAAUCAACACGAACUCUCCCACCACGUUGUCUUCGAUUUGGUACCUGCACCAUACAAGGUAACAACCUAUUAUUUGAAAUGGGAAUCGAAAUUGGAAUAGGUGGCUUACCUUUGUACGGCAAAGAAAUGGUAGCACUCUGGACAGAUGCACAAGGAGUGCACUCGGCCAGAUUUGGUGACUUUAGGGGUGGGGCCGUGCUCCCUUUGUUGUUCACUCCAAUUCCUUCCUCGAUGGUAGUUCGAGGUACUUUCGUCUUGAUGAGUGUUGAACAUUCCUGCCCUAUAUUUGCAAUUACAUUAAUGGCACAACAAGAACGAACAACAUUAGGAGUCUCAAUAAAUUCAGAAACUUUAAAACAAAUCAUGUCACCACCAAAUGCCAUAGUGACUUCUCCUUUGGCCACGUCAAUCUUGGUUUGAGCCGUUUUCAUGAAAGGUCGGCCAAGCAACAGUGGUGGUGGUGGAGAGUGGCCUGUAUCCUCCAUAUCGAGCACGUAGAAAUCUGCCGGGAAAAUCAAGUGGUCUACCUGCACCAAAACAUCUUCCAAAACUCCCUUUGGAUAGGCAUUAGAUCGAUCGGCCAAUUGAAUAAUCACGCCAUCAUUUUUCAACUCGCCUAAAUUCAUAGAUGCAUAAACUGAAUAUGGCAUGACAUUUAUAGAUGCACCUAAAUCUAACAUAGCGGAAUCAAAGCGAGUGUUACCAAGGACACAAGGAAUUGUAAAACUACCCGGAUCUUUGCAUUUGGGGGGUAGUUUGCGUUGCAACAUGGCGGAGACAUUCUCACUUACAUGUACCACUUCUUUCUCCCGAAAACGUUUCCUUGUUGUACAAAGCUUCUUUAAGAACUUGGCAUACUUCGGGAUUUGCUUGAUUGCAUCCAAAAGGGGUAUGUUGACUUGAACUUUCCUAAAUGUCUCUAGAACAUCUUUUGCCUCCUCUUCGUUCUUGGAUUGCAAAAAUCUGCUAGGGAAGGGUACAUCCGGAGGAAUAACAUUAGAAUUAAAUGGAAUUGGACCUUUCUUACCUGUGUUGGCCGAAUUGGAAUGCUUGGGUGGUUGCGGCAAGGAUUGCUCAAUCCUUGCCGUGGCCUUUGCUUGGUCCUCCUCUUCAAUUUUCAACUUCUCGUCCUCCUUGGGGCCAGAUUUGGAUGGUUUUGGCUCGAUUCCUACUUCUUUCCCACUUCUUAGCGUGAUAGCCUUUGCAGAUUCGAAUCCACCUUUCGGAUUGACCACCGUUGAGCUAGGCAACCUUCCUUGCUCACGAAAUUGCCCUAUGAACUCGGCAAUUUGUCCCACUUGCUUCUCCAAGUUGUCCACCCUCUUGUCUUGGAUUUGCCUCUCUUUGGCUUGAUUUUGGACUUCCUGCGUCAAGGUAGUAAGUAAUUGAAAAAUCUUAUCAUUAUCACUUGAAUUACCUGCAUUGCUUUGGGCAGGUUGUGCUUGGGCUUGUGAUGGUGCCAACGGCUUUUGAUAGAAACCCUGGGGUUGUUGCCUAAAUCCGCUUUGUUGUUGGCCUUGUUGGGGGUCUCGCCAGUUGAAAUUCGGAUGAUCACGCCAACCGAGAUUGUAAGUAUUGGAAAACGGAUCAACACGUGAUUGGUAUUGGUUGCCAUAUCCCACAGCAUUGAGUGUCUCCCACCCUCCAUUCUCGAUCAAUUGUGGGCACUUGUCCGUAUUGUGGUUUUGCAUGGAGCAUACGCCACAAGAAGCUACGGGUUUGAUUUUUGGACCUUCCACCACCAGAGAAAGCAACGUAGUAAGGUUAGCCAUUUGAUUUUGAAGUUCGAUUAUGGCACUUACCCCAUUGACUUGAUGUUGCUGUGGCAUGCUCCUUUGUCCAACACCUUCGUAUUGUUGAGCGUUCAACGCUCGAUUAGCAAUCAACAUUUUUGCAGCCGUAGGGGUCUUGUCCACCAAUGCUCCUCCUGCUGAGGCAUCUAACAUUUGCCGUUCGAUUGGUAGAAGUCCCUCGUAGAAAUAUUGUAAAAGAAGCUCCUCCUUCAUUUGAUGCUGUGGACAUGAAGCAACAAGAGAUUUAAAACGUUCGUAAUACGUAGGAAAAGACUCACCUUCAUCUUGUUGAAUUCCACUUAUCCUUUUUCGUAGGAGGAUGACUCGAGAAGUUGGAAAAAACUUCUCCAAGAAGGCCCGUUUCAUGCUCUCCCAAGAUGUGACAGUUCCGGGAGCCAAUUCGUACAACCAAUCUUUCGCCUUUUCCAAGAGAGAAAAAGGAAAGGCCUUCAUCUUCAAUAUGCUCCCAUCCACGUUGAUUGGAGUCAUGCUUGAACACACCACCUCGAAUUCUUUCAAAUGCUUGUUAGGAUCCUCCAUGGACAAACCAUGGUACUUCGGAAUGUGGUGUAGCAAACUUGACUUCAACUCGAAUUCCUCGGUCUUUCCUUGGGCAGCCGCUGGGUAUUGAAUGCAUAGGGGUGCGGCAUUGUCCAAUCCCGAAGCCGAAAGCUCCUUGAUUGUACGAUUGUCUAGUGCCAUAACUUCCACUUCUUCAAGGGGAUGUUCCUCACGCUCAGGUUCAGGAAUUUGAUCUUGUUGAUUCCUAUUCCUUCUCAAAGUCCUCUCAAAAUCGUCGUCAAAGUCCAAGAUGUGUUCACGAAUCGGAUAAGAACUCUGACUCAUAAACUAGUACCUAAAACAAGAAACAAAACAAACUCAGAAUCUGGAACGAAUUAAAACAAACUAAAAUAAACAAUCCAAGGGAUUAGCAAUGUUGCUAAUCCCCGGCAACGGCGCCAAAAUUUGAUAUGAUAUUAACUAGCACUCAAAUUAACCCUCUUUUUAUCAAUUGUAGUAAGUAUGUAAGUAGGGAUCGUUCUAGGCCGAGGAUUAGGAGGGAUUGCUAAAUCACUUGAAAACUGACUCAAAAACGUAAAAACAAAGUUUAAAACACUAAACUAGACUCAAAGAAUGUAAAACUAUAACUUAAAACACCAAAACAAACCAAAAGACUCAAAAUAACACAAAAACACUCAAAACUGCCUUAAAACCACUUUCUGGGCAAUUUUGAACUCUAAACAAGAUUUUGACGAAAAUAGGUUUUAACUUGACUCAAAACACUUAAAAACACAAACUAACACACUCUCUAACUAAUUUGACACUUGAAAACAAAGGGGGAUUUGGUUUUUACGAAAUUGAAGACAAAACAUAAACUUGUAAAUCAAAACAGAUUUUAAAACGAAUUUGAUUGAAUUGAAUGGAUAGAAAGCUAGCUAAGGGGUUCAUCUCCACACAUGUUAUACUUGCAUUCAAAACGAUUUCCAAUUGCUUUUCAAUAACCCAUGAAUUCUCAAUGCCCCAAGUUAAUUAGGUCCGCUUAAAUUAACCUUCAGAUUUCCUAACGUUAAUUAUUGAAUUGGAUGAUUGCAUACGACAACCCAAAGCAUUCCCCACAAGUCCCCUACAUGAUUGCAUAAUAGAGAUACAAGCAAGAAUCAUUAAGUUCUAUGAAAACCAUAAGCAUUGACGAAGCACUUGUUACUAUGAUUGCAUGAAACUUAUGCCAAGAAUUUACUUAACGCGAUUGAGAUCAUCAACCUUUACUACUUAUGAAUAUAAGUCCAUAACGAUUAGGUGAAAUUUCCUUAUAUCCUAGCAUCAAAUUCAUGCAUGCAAAUUAAGUGUCGACCCUCAACCAACAUACACAAAUCAGUUUUAAUUCUUGUAGAUAAGUAAAUUGAAUUCCCAACUUAUGAAACGCAAUUAGAAGUAAUCAAAUCAUAUAGCAAGCAUAAACAUGGUUUCGAAUCCCCCCCUAGCCAAGGGGGGUUUAGUUCCUCAUACUCGCAAAGCCAAGAUACAUAAAUUUAGAAAUUAAAAUCCAAAGAAAGAAAACACCUAGAACGCUCCAACUUGGCAGCAAGCGCAUCCAACGAAUUCUCCUUCCUCCUUGCUGCGGCAGAGACUUUAGAACAGGUUUUUGGGGUUAUUUGUGGUGUAGAAUGGAUGGGGAAUGGUAUGGAAAGGUUUAGGGUUGAUGGGGGUACGGCUAGGGAUGAUUUUGGGCAGAAUUUUGGGACUUUGGUGAUGGAAAGGUGCGGCAGAAAAUCAAGGUUUAAUUUCUGGCGUGAAUGGUUAUGUAUGAGAGGUGAUGAUCUGAUCUAGGGGUUAUAAUGAGUAUAUAUAGGCAUCCAAAACCCUAGGGUAAUCAGAUUAGGGUUUCU